GACGAACGCUGGCGGCGUGCUUAACACAUGCAAGUCGAACGAAGUGGCGGACGGGUGAGUAACGCGUAAUCAACCUGCCCUUCAGAGGGGGAUAACAGUUGGAAACGACUGCUAAUACCGCAUACUGAAGGAGGGGAUUGCGUCUGAUUAGCUCGUUGGAGGGGUAACGGCCCACCAAGGCGAUGAUCAGUAGCCGGUCUGAGAGGAGGAACGGCCACAAUGGGACUGGGACACGGCCCAGACUCCUACGGGAGGCAGCAGGGGGGAAUCUUCCGAAAUGGACGAAAGUCUGACGGAGCACAGCCGCGUUAGAGAGGACGGCCUUCGGGUUGUAAAGCUAUGUUAGUCGGGACGCGGUACCGGAAUAGAAAGCCACGGCUAACUACGUGCCAGCAGCCGCGGUAAUAC
rnacentral:rRNA from 1 species